UCUCCCUCUCCCUCUCCCUCCCCCUCCCCCUUAUCAGCUUGAAUUGUUGAUUUUGAUUAAUUGUUGAUUUUGAUUAUGUAUGAAUUGUCGAUAUUACGAAUUUAUGUGUUUGUAUAUUUGCUUUAUUGAGUUUUGAUUGUUUUUUUGAGGUGGAUUAUGAAUUGUUGCUUUUUGUUUGGUAAUUAGUAGUGUAAUUAUGGGAUAAAGUCCUUUCCUCAGCUUCUGCUUGUAACAAGAAGAGUGCCUUCCCAUAUGGAAGGCAGCAAUAAAAAUUUUAAGCAGUGUGUGUGUUUAUAAACAAUUGAUUAGUGAAGACUGAGAGAGUUUAGAAAAUGAAAUGGAGAGGUGAUGGGUAAGUGAAUCAAAUUAAUAGCAAGGAUUAACUCAACAAUUAAUAUAACAUUGACACGCGACAAAAACUCUACUUUACCACCGAUGAUAGCUGCAAUGGAAGUAUUCACAAAAUGGGCUACACAUGUGAAGCAGAAGUACGCAGCUCCGUCAUCUGGAGCUGCUGGGGGAUUUAUAUCAUUGGCAUUUUCACUGAUGAUUCCUUUUGUGUUUGUAUUGGUAGCAUGAAAGUGGUAAGAGACAUUUUGAAGCACAGUGUAAUCAUCGUAAAUUAUAAUAAAAGGUCACAUUCCUAUGAUAAGUUAAACCUGUAAAGGAAAAUUUCAUCUGAAAAUGAUAAUCCAAAUUGAAAUGUAUACUAAAUUUGGUAAUUUGUUUAUGUUCUUUUUGUAGAGGACAAACUGAAAUAUAAGCUACGAAACUUGAGAUUAAAGUAGGCAUGUUAACGUGGUAGAAAAAGUUGCUCAUACUGACUUGUAAUUAUGGUGUUGGUUAAUGACAUCUUUUCGUUAUUUUUGCUUGCGUCUUUUUGUUCAAAAAAUGAUCCCAAGUUUUGUUUGCGUCGUAACUGGCCAGUACUGUCGUAGUGCUGCCAGGAAUCUUGUUAAUGUACUGGAGCUUCAUUUUGAGAUCUCCUAGCUCAUAAAUACUAUACAUUGUUCUAAUAGAGAACUUGCUCUGAUGUUCCCUGCUUAAAUGAUUUUGACUUUAUUUAACAAAGGUUCUAUGUACUUUGUACAUGUAUAUUAAUAUCAGAAAAGCGCUCUUCUUUUGUGUAUAAAAUAUAAAGAAGUUAUCCUGAAUUCCCUAUUACAGCGGAAAUGGUUUGCUCUUGUAUGAUAAUGGUUUACUCUUCUUUAAUAUGCAUUAGAAUUUCAAUAAAAAAUGGGUUCUGCUUAUUGUGAAUAUGGUGAUUAGUCUGCCAAAUCGUAAUGCAAGUGUUGGAGCUGGACUAUUCUGUCUGGAAUCUUUUCUCAGAAUUGGGUUAUUCAGGGGGUUGCGCGGAAUGCACUGCUUAAGUUAAUUCAUGAAAAUUCCUCUUCCAUGCGCAGCAAUCUGUAUGGCAGGUAGAUAAUUGCAUGUCUGGAGAAGACAAAGAAUAACGCGAUGUGGACAUUGAACUGUUGAAGGAGUCUCCAGAUUAGUUGUGCUGAUGAAAAAUCUGAAAAUAACUUUGAUGUUCUGUUGUUUUUACAUGGUCAAGUAGCGAAACUUUGGUGUGUAGUUGAAAUAGGUGCCUUGUAUUAGUAUCGUAAACUUUGAUGGGUGCUUCUAUGAGACUUGUCAAUUUUUAUUUUAUACUUAUUUUGAUGAAGUUCAAUUUAAAAUUU